rnacentral:rRNA from 1 species
CAGGUCUUGACAUCCUCUGACAGGCCUAGAGACAGGACUUUCCCCUUAGGGGACAGAGUGACAGGUGGUGCAUGGUUGUCGUCAGCUCGUGUCGUGAGAUGUUGGGUUAAGUCCCGCAACGAGCGCAACCCUGGUCCUUAGUUGCCAGCAUUCAGUUGGGCACUCUAAGGUGACUGCCGGUGACAAACCGGAGGAAGGUGGGGAUGACGUCAAAUCAUCAUGCCCCUUAUGACCUGGGCUACACACGUGCUACAAUGGAUGGUACAAAGGGCUGCGAGACCGCGAGGUUUAGCCAAUCCCACAAAACCGUUCCCAGUUCGGAUUGCAGGCUGCAACUCGCCUGCAUGAAGCCGGAAUCGCUAGUAAUCGCGRAUCAGCAUGCCGCGGUGAAUACGUUCCC